CGGGCCCAGUGUGACACCCUCCCGGGCCCAGUAUGACACCCUCCCGGCUCUCAAUGCGGGCCCAGUGUGACACCCUCCCUGCCUCUGUGCGGGCCCGGAUUGAGAGCCGCUGGGCCUAGCUUGGCCUCUACAAGCAUUCCAGCCUCACCCUACUUCCAAAGCAUUUGUCCGACCUCUGGAGUCUCAAGGUGAAGGCUGGUGUGUUGUGGGACUGUGUUCAGCGAACUAAUGUCAUGAGCUGCUAAUGUAUUCUUGUAUUCUGUCGUGCUGAACAUUGUAUUGGUUUUAUUUAUUUUUCCCGUUAAGAUUUUGUGCUUGAGCAUCUAUAGGCAUGUACCCGGAUUGCAGUGAGGCGUAAACCUUUCCCUGAACUCACCUGAAUACGUGCGACGAUUAAGUCGAUUCAGUUCCGACCCUCUCCUCCGAGCCACCUCGAGCCCAGGCCCUUUGGAGAAUGUGCAAAGCGAAGGAGAGAGUCACAGGGUGGUGAGGUCAGAGCCCAAGACCGGUCUGUCGAGCAGAUCACGUUCGAGGGGUUGGGUUUAACCUUCAGGCUGGGUCGGUGUUGGAAAGGGCCGAAGGGAAUUUUCCUCACGGCCGUUUCCGUUGUGUUCCAGGUUCGUGUGCAACGGCCCCGCCUCUGCAUUCUCCCAUGAAGAAGACGGGCAAGCUGCGCAUGGGCGGGGCAAGAGCAAGGUCCAAACGUUCAGCACCCAGCGUCGCUUCAAACUCCGCGGUGGAAGCUGACUCUCUGGCAGUCUGUGAAGGUAAAGACUGUGUUGGUGGGGGGGGGAGGGC